UACGUAGGGUGCAAGCGUUGUCCGGAAUUAUUGGGCGUAAAGAGCUCGUAGGCGGUCUGUCGCGUCGGCUGUGAAAACUCGGGGCUCAACUCCGAGCUUGCAGUCGAUACGGGCAGGCUAGAGUUCGGCAGGGGAGACUGGAAUUCCUGGUGUAGCGGUGAAAUGCGCAGAUAUCAGGAGGAACACCAAUGGCGAAGGCAGCUCGCUGGGACGGUACUGACGCUGAGGCGCGAAAGCGUGGGGAGCAAACAGG
rnacentral:rRNA from 1 species